rnacentral:rRNA from 1 species
GUAGGGAGCGAGCGUUAUCCGGAUUUAUGGGGUGUAAAGGGUGCGUAGACGGGAAAAUAAGUUAGUUGUGAAAUCCCUCGGCUUAACGGAGGAACUGCAACUAAAACUGUUUUUCUUGAGUACUGGAGAGGAAAGUGGAAUUCCUAGUGUAGCGGUGAAAUGCGUAGGUAUUAGGAGGAACACCAGUGGCGAAGGCGACUUUCUGGACAGAAACUGACGUUGAGGCACGAAAGUGUGGGGAGC